rnacentral:lncRNA from 1 species
GACCCUGCAACGAUUUGCAUAGGUGUGAGCCACAAGUGAUAUGCAAUAUAUAAGAAUUCGAAAUUGAAGUACUUAAUGAUAAGUUGUUUGUAUCAUAUUUAAAUCUUUAGCAACAGUUGCCCGUUUCACAGUUGCAAAGUAUUUCUUGCAAUUUUUCUUCCAAUGUAUCUCCUUGCCAUAGUGAUAGCAAGUACUUUUGGCAGAGACCUUCUUCACCUUCUUCUUGGAGAUGCCAGCCUUAGGGUUCAACUUUUUUUUGAAAUCCUUCUUGUCUUUAUUCUUGUUGAUCUUA